GGGCGGGUAGCUCAGCGGCAGAGCGCUGGCCUUACAAGCCGGAUGUCGCAGGUUCGACCCCUGUCCCGCCUACCA
rnacentral:tRNA from 1 species